UACAGGCACAUCCUUUUCAAGAUAAUCUCCAUCGUGCACGCUGUUAAGACAACAUCACAGGCCUGAACAUCCAUCGGAUGCUCACUGGGUUACAUGAAUAUAGAUCUCCCAGCUGCCUUCGUCCUCGUCCUGCAGCUAUCCACAUACCAUCCAUCAGCUUUUAUUACUUUACUUGGACAAAGCAAAGAACACACAAAUUAUCCUAACAAAAAUAAACAGGAAUAAUUAUUGUAUGAUGAUAUAUCAUAUUGAAGAUUUAUAACAAAUUAAACCAAUAUAUUUUCCCUUGAAUGCAUACAGUUCUUGUUCAUAUGGAGGAAAGAUCAAGAACCAUACACAAUAUACAGAAAAUCUGUAGCGUAUACAUACUCUGAUCUAUUUACCGACAAAUUAUUAGAACUUUUUGAAGAUACUCGCUCGAAAGAACAAUUUUCUUCUCUCGACACGACAUCAGUCAUGAAAUUGAACGAAACUUCAACAUUGUCAGUCAUUGAAGUUAAUAGUUGCCUCGUAUUCUCUUAAG